UAAUGAUGUGCUUCAUACCAGUGGUAUCUAGCAUCUUUACUUUAUACAAAUAAAAACAAUUAUAUACAUGUUUUAACGAUAAGAAAAAGUCUUAAGUUAAUGUUGAAUCCAUGUGGUUGGUGCAAACUCUAAGAGUUAGUUAUCAUGUUGCAUUACUGCCUACCACCACACACUAUAGGUUAUCAUUAUGCACCAUUUAAACACAACUCUAGCCUUCUUCUUUGCCAUGCCUACCAUCUCUUACACCAAUCCCAUCUUCUGCAUCAACAGCAAAGUAAGUUUUCAUAAAUAAUUUUAUUUAAACUAUAACUUGUUUUUUUUAAUCAAUAAAUUACUUAGAAAAAUAUUAUAUUGAAUAAAUUCAUCAUUUAGAAUAAUACAUGAUUUUUAGAUUUGUUAUCAAGUUUUACACACUGCAAAAAAAAUCAAUGAAUCUUCAAAAAAUGGAACUUAAAAAAUGCGUAACAUAUCAUUUCCAAUACCAUCAAUGCAUUUGAUAUGAUUUUUAUGUUUUAGGGAAUGACGUCUUCGUUUGAAGCAGUGAAUUAAUUCAACAUUUCACUACCAACCAAUCAAAAUUAAAAUAUCCAACAAAUAAAUAAGUACAACGUGUCAUGCUGACAUUUUCAUUUUCUAACAUGGUAGCAGCAGGUAAACAGAUAUCGAAGAUAUACCAAUCUGAUCAGUCGUUUCGGCGAAUCUUACGGAACUUAAUUUUGGAGACGUUUGCGGAAUAAGACUUGUCUGCUCACACAUUACAAAUUGCACUAAUGCAUCUCUGGCACUACGAGUUUCAAGUGUACGACGUGGAAUCCUCGUCUAUGGGUGACAGAUACAUGAGACCUAUUCUACAGUAGAACCUGUCUAAUUGCAUAGAGCUGGGACACGGAGGCGGUUCUGCAUUUAAUCAGGUAAUGCAUUAACAACACAGGUUAUGCAUUAACUAUUAACUACAGGCCCGACAUCGGCCCGGCGGAUUCUCAUGCAUUCAGAGAGGUGAUGCAUUUACACAGUAUGAAAUUGAACAGUUUCUACUGUAUAAGCAGUUAAGACGUCUGUUGAUAAAAAAUGAGAAAUAAAAAAACAAAACUUCGAAGGCAAUCGUACCUAAUUUACUGCAGUCGAAUCUGAUGCGAACGAAGCUUCAAAUCGAUUGCUAGUGAAGUGGACUGAACCUUGAUGAAGCGUCAAUUGUCAUGGAUUAACUGACAGCAAAUGAGAUACUCUAAUCGAUGUCGAUAACUGAAACUGAAAUAUAUUGGAGGUUUACGGAGGUGUAUCUUGCUUGAUAUUCACUAGCUACAGAAUAGUUAAGUGAGAUAAGCACCUUACAAACCUUCAAGUCUUGAGAAUUCUAGCAUCCGCCCUGCGUUAUCACCAGGGACGAAAGAAUGAGUAAACCCCCUGCAGAUGAUCUUUCUCGCUGGACUGUACCCACAACCGUCUUCUCACAAACGACCCCGGCAAAGAACUGGGAACCAUAGAUCACUACCCAAGUGAUCAGUCCCGCGACUCACUCAGGGAUGUGAAGCAUAUCUCAGUCAGACUCAGCGCUCCAGCGACACACCUUGGCCGUGACACCAGAAAACGACACCGGCUGUUUUGUCAGCGACGCUGACUCAAAACUUGACAGAGAAAGGCAAUCCACCCACUGUCACAAGAAAUGUGUUGUAAAGAAG
rnacentral:lncRNA from 1 species